rnacentral:lncRNA from 1 species
UAAGUUGCAUGAAGUAGAAAACAUAUAUAUGUAAAAACAUACUUCAUGAUAAUGCUUUAGAUUUAAUCAGCUUAACACAAUUAACAUAUUUAAAUUUUAAGCUGAUUUGUAUUCAAUUCAAAGUAUAUAUAUAGCAUAUACUUAGAUAUUUCUCCCCCUUUUUGACAACAUCAAAAAGAUAGUGAAACAUUAAGCACAAAGAUCAGAGCAGAACACAUCGAGUGUGAAUUCAAGAGGUUUUCUAAUUUGAUACCACAGAUAGUUUUCUAAUCAAGUGUAGGUGGAAUCUUCCUUAGGUUAAUUCAAGAAGUACUACAAAUGAUAUUCAAGAAAAAACAUGAGUGGAAAUCUAACCUCUCUUCACUGAGUAUGAAAGCUUGUUCGUUCAAGACCUUUUGCCCAAUCUAUUAAGUAUUUUAUCAACCAUGAGAGCAAUUUAAUUAAUUUUCUUAAUGACUUCAAAGUUCUUUUAUGAUAAUAGGAGCAUUGGGGCACAAAUAUCAAAAUAUACAUUCAUGCAAUUUUUGAUACAUCUUAGAGCUCUUUUAAAGACUUUCUU